UACGAACCGUCCAAACGUUAUUCGGAUUUAUUGGGCUUAAAGGGUAUGUAGGCGGCCCUUCAAGUCGGGUGUGAAAGCCCUCGGCUCAACCGAGGAACUGCGCCCGAUACUGUGGGGCUUGAGGGAGACAGAGGUAAGCGGAACUGAUGGUGGAGCGGUGAAAUGCGUUGAUAUCGAGAGGAACACCUGCGGCGAAGGCGGGUUGCUGGGCUGACACUGACGCUGAGGCGCGAAAGCUAGGGGAGCGAACGGG
rnacentral:rRNA from 1 species